rnacentral:hammerhead_ribozyme from 1 species
AGCCAGCUGAUGAGUCCCAAAUAGGACAAUACGCGCGUCAAACUGAAU